UGGUUGCUUUGUUAAGUUGACAACAGGGCAACAAAUAUUGGCUGCAACUGGAAGAGAUGAUAAUAACAACAUCUUUCCCAUUGCAUUUGCUAUUGUUGACAAGGAGGACACUGCCAGCUGGUCUAACCCAGCUCAAGUAUGCUCUUGGUGGUGAGUCAGGGAAGUAUGUCAAGUACACUAUCAUAUUUGAUAGACAAAAGGUACCUCAUACAUCAUAAUUCUUAUUUUUACUGAAGUUUUACCAUGCUUAGUACUGUCAAAUAGCAUGUUGUUAUACUAUAUUUUGAACACUAGUUAUUUAAACAGGGCCUUCUUAAAGCCAUAAACAAUGUCUUCCCAAAUUGCCCUCAAAGAUACUGCCUUAGACAUAUUUAUCAGAACUUUCAAACAGCUGGCUUUAGAGGUGAAGAGUUAAAGAAGUAUAUGGAUCAGGCUAGUUAUUCAUAUCUGAGCAUGGUUUUGAACAAGCAAUGGAAGGCAUGAAAAGAGUGUGAGGCAGCUUGGAAAUGGCUUAGAAAGAUACCCAAGCAUACAUGGGCUAGACAUGCCAUGGACAAGAAUUGUAAAACUGAUUUGGUUGUUAAUAAUAUUAGUGAAGUGUUCAACAAAAUGAUACUUGAUGUGAGAGGGAAACCAAUUAAAACCAUGGUUGAUGGCAUCAGAACAAAAUUGCUAGUUAAGUUCAAUGCCAAUAGGACCAAGACUGAGACAGCCAAGUGGCAGAUAUGCCCAACAUAUGCUGAGAAGUUAGAAGAAGCAAAACACCAUGCUAGAUAUUGUCAGUCAAUCAAAGCAGGACCUGAUCUAUACCAGGUUAGCAGUGGAGAAAGCACAUAUGCAGUAAAUCUGCAAGUGCACACAUGUGAGUGUAGCAAAUGGGACAUGACUGGUGUUCCAUGCAAGCAUGGUGUUUCUGCAAUUAACAAGGCAAAACUUCAUCCAGAAGAUUUUGUUAGUGAUUUCUUCAAGAAACCAAUGUACCAAGCAGCCUACAAUCCAAUUGUGUAUCCUGUGCCUGGGCCUGAUCUAUGGCCAAAUACUGGGACCGCUGACAUAAAGCCACCAGUUUUCAGAGACAAGCCAGGAAAGAAGCAGACUAAGAAGAGAAAGAAUCAGUUUGAGAAGCCAGCUCCCAAAGAUACUUGAAGGAUGGCAACAAUAACCUGCAGCAAUUGCAACUUGACAAGGCAUAGGUACACUAGCUGCCACAAAAAUCUGAAGCCAGCCCUAGCAAUGAGAAGGAACCAACACCAGGUUAAAUCUUGUUUAUAUAUGUUGUCACUGCAGGUUAAAUCUUGUGUAUAUCUCUACUAUUAAAGCAGAAUCGAACGACGAUCUGCUCACCUCCCCUCGUACGAUAGUAACAGAAAGAAAAAAUCUGCCAAAAACCUCACGCACCAAAUCGACGCAAAAUCAGGGAAAAACCCACUUCCUCCACCUUCUCCCCGACCCAAUCUCCAUCUCUCUCCCAGUCCCUAACUACCCACCCAGCGGCUGCCCCUCUCUCCGCCGAGAAAAAUCGCCGGAUCCCCGCCCCAAGCCCCCAAAACUCCUGCCACGGUUGGGGUCUCCGGUGUAGGAGGAUCCACAGCCCGCGGUGGGUCUUCUCCCCUGCACCCCGAGCUCCGAUGGCCUCAAUCUGGGAGCCGAGUGGAGGCGCGGUGGUGCCAAGCAUGGCGAUUCUGAUCCUGAUAGCGUCCUGGCCACGGUCGCCGACGGCACGCCCUCACAAGAGUCCCGCACGGGAGCCAUAGGAGAGGGUGGCACACUGGCUGCACCGAUGAGUUCGCAGCCAUCAUGCACGUCGACAUUAGCUGCGGCACGUACGAGCCCUGCAUCAUCGGCGAGAUCGGCCUAGGUUACUACACCGGCGACCUCUGUGGUACAUGCGAUGAUGCCAGCAAAUCCACAAGAUUAGAUGCGUGCACUUGCUGGUGAUUAUAGCCAUCUUGGACGCCUUCUUCGUGGACCCCGGCUUGCUCAAGGUUCCCUGCCUGUCGAAUUUUUUUCUCUGCCGAGAAGUGCAUAUUGUUGAUUGGUCCGGCUUACAAAGAGGAGUACCAGCUUCCCGAGUCUCUUACAGAGGCACUCUAAGUCUCUCGUACUAGCAUUUGUUGCUCUGUUAAGUUCGUUAGCUUGAGAAUGCACUGUGCAUAUAUAAAUACUUGUCUCUGUAACUAUAGCUCCAUCUAUCAGGUGAUUCUUUGACUUGAGUUAACACCUGCUGUUUUUCUGAAUGUUAUCUGAAUCUAGGAAAUUACCUGAUUGUUCAAUUCAUGUAUAUGAUUUUUGGUUAUCA